AUUUUACAUUUUGUUAUAAUGCGCAAUACGGUAUGUGGACUUAUAUUACACCGAAAAGAUCAUUUUAGUGCCUUGGUUCUUCUCUCUCUCUCCAUCUCAAUGCUCUCUUUCUUCAAUGCUCUCUUUCUCUCUCUAAGAAACCAUUUUUUCUUCUUCUGCCAAGAAAACCCAUCUAAUGUUUGAGUAGAUGUUGAUAAAGAAGAAGUGGUGUUAUGCUGAAGCUUUUGGGAAGCGAAGAGGCAGAUAGUAACAGUGGAAGAGAGUCAAAUGUUCUUAUCCACUGAGAACACACCACAUGACCACCCACUUCCUUCUCCUUCUUCCAGUUUCGUACAUCUCACCUCUACCUCUUCCCAUGAAUUAGCUCAGUCCCAUCCCCAGAGUUUCUCCAUCAGAGAUUACGCAUAUAAUAACCGGAAGAACAACAUCAACAACAACUGGCCCUUUUCUCCCAAAAGUCUCCAACUUCUUUCAACUCAUGGAGUGACUGAUCCUUUGCCACCGUUUCAGAUCACGGCUAGUUCAUCGUCAGGGAAGCAGAUUGUAUCCCAUGUCCAACGAGGAAGACAUUUGGCUAAACUUGGGCUAAAUCAGACAAUAGUAAAGACUAGACAAGGAGAUUGUAGCCAGUCUAAGAUCGUCAGGAAUGGUUUGUUCAGGAGCACAAGUGUUUCCAAGUCUAAGGAAGGGAUAGUACUAGUAGCUGCUACAAGUAAUAAUCACCACAAGAGUAAAACGUGUGGAGGAGGAAUGGUGAAAUCCAAAGAAGCCACCAGUUGUGUUGGGAUCGAAUCAAUCAUGGCUUCAAAAACAUGUCCUAUUUGCAAAACCUUCUCAUCAGCUUCCAACACUACUUUGAAUGCUCACAUCGAUCAGUGUAUAUCCGUAGACUCACCGGUUAUUAGCAAGCCGAACAAGCCUAGAGUUAACCAGCCUCUAUCUGUUGAUUCAGCGGUGCCUUUGGUUACUAGUAACCCAAGCAAGCCUAGAGGUAAGCCACUGAUGAAAGUGAAAACAAUGGUUGAUAUCUACGCUACUGCUAAAGAAUGCACAUUAGAAGAUCUUGAUAAAAGAAAUGGAACAAAUUGGGCUGUGAUCUCGAGCUACACGAAUAGGGUUGUUGCUGAUAAGUCUGAAGUGUCCAAGAAGCGGAAAGUUGCUCCUGUCGGUGUUGGUCCUAUUUAUGUUGAUGCCAAGGGACAAAAGCUGCGGAUUUUAACAGAGUUCAGCGAGAAGAAGACUUCUUCUACUACUACUCCAUUGACAAAGCAGCACGAGGAUGGUAGUGAUGAAAAUAAAAGUGCAAGCCAAGGUAGUAAAGAAAAUAGUAAAAGCUCAAGGAAGAGACGUCCGGGAAAAAAACAUCAUAAGUAUCUUAAACUAAACAACAGUCACAAAAUCAAAGAGUCAGAGCAGGUUCAAAGAGGGGUUUCUGUAAAAGGUAGCAGCACCGGUCAUCGUAGAAUCUUUAAUCAGCGGAUGUUAGCAGAACGUGGUUCGAGUUCAAAGAAGCUAAAUGAGAAAGAAAAUAAGUUAUAUGCAUUGCGGGAUCAGCCAUCUGAUGAUGAUGAUGAUGAUGAUUCAUGGUCAGGAGGUGAUCAUGUUGUCUUGAGAGGUACUGAUUUGUCUGCCACUGGUUCGUCUUGGAAUAAGACUAUGUUUGGGAGUAAAAGGGCUCAAAGAGUUCGGAUGAGUGAGAAGCAGGAGACAUCACUUGCAGGAGCUCAUCUAAACACUGUCAGGUUGAAGAAGAGCCUUAGUUCGAUUCAAGAAGAUAAGUAUCCACCGGGAAAGAAUGUCAGAGAGGUUACAGAUGCGUCUCCUCGUGCAACUAGUCUGAGAAAGCUGUUGCCACCAUUUGUAGCAAAUGGCUGGAGACGAUUAUCUCUGCCUUUGGAACUAAAGAGAGCUCGGUUGGAUUUGUCAGAUGAAGAAGAAGAAGAAACUGGGAGAUGGGAAUCUGAAAUGACACAAGAACGUGAACUAUCAGAUGAUGAUUAUGUUUCCGGUGAUAAUGGAGAAAGAAAUGAGGUCGUACGCAGAUCAAAUCCCUUAACAUUUAGUGGUUACAAUGAAUAUGAAUAUGAAGAUGAUGAUGAUGAUGACGAAGAAAGUAGUGAAGAGGACAAAACAGAUGAGUUCUACCAGUCAGAGACUCCACCAUCUAAUGAAACCAUACCUAGCGAGAGAGCUUAUUUGUAUAACUCUGAAGGAGUUGAGAAUAUGGUUUACGAGGAGGACGAUGAUGUGAGGUUUGAUUCUGAGGUGGGAAAGGGAAGCUUAUACGUAGAGGUUGAUACCAUUCCCAUUCCAGGACCUCCUGGAUCAUUUAUACCGAGUCCCCGGGGUAUGAGUUAUGACGAGCAUCUUGGAAACUCGUCGGUUAUCACAAGCCAGCUCCAGUCUUCCAUGGAUCAGCCUGACAGACACUCAUCUGAAUCACCUGUUUCUGCUUUUUCCAACUUUGCAGCUGGUAGAUUGAGUUUUCCAGCAGAGCUAUUCUCCAUGGACGUUCCUUCUCCCUACUCCACAACCCCAGUGAGCUUUCCCGUUCCAUCUCAUCCUGAGAAGAUGACUGUUGACAAGGCAAUAACACCUCCGAGCUUUAGAAACAAUGAUGGUGAGCCUUGUUGUUGCCAAAGAAAAGAGAGAAUCUCCGAGAGCGUUACUUUGAAUCACCAACCAUAUCAUCUACUGCAGCGAAGAGCCGCAGUUUCUUCUUCUUCAAUGGCCAUGAACUUAACCAAACCGCCCACGUGUUUGGAUCCAAAUCUUUCGUUUGAGCAGUCACCACCAUACAUGAUCCAGCAAGAGUUUGAUCUUCAUAGUAAAUUCUCAAACAAGGGGAAUGUCAAUGGCGCUGUUGUGGUGCCUCCUAGUCCUUCAAACUCGGUUUUGCGGUUAAUGGGAAAAGACUUGAUGGUCAUGAACCAAGGAGAAGAAUCUCUGGCUAGCUUAAAACCAACCCCACAGUUUCUUGAUCCUCCUCCUCUAUCUGCUGGAGCUGGCUUAUACUUAAACACAGGUCUCUAUUUAAGGAACAGUUUGGAGCCAACACAUCAACUAGAAACACAAGCUUCAGCAUUCAGAAACAGUUUUGAUCAUGUGAGGUACUUUUCUCAAAGCUAGUCAACGAUCUUUAUGAAGUUUAAGAAGAAAUUGAGAAGUGGGUUCUCUUUGAAUACCGAUCAUCGAACAUGGGUGCAUUGGGUUUCAAGGUGGAGAGACGGUUUAAAGAAAGAAGAGCAGCAAAUACUAACUUACCAAUCUCCAUGUAUUCUCACAAGGAACUAUAAAUUUGGCGUAGUUUAGGACGCUUGAUUGGUUCUGUAACCGAAUGUUACUCUCAGGUUCCGGUACUGCAGGGAUUUAUAUAUUUUUUUCAAUCCAGAAAUUAAUGUCA